rnacentral:rRNA from 1 species
UAGUCCACGCCGUAAACGAUGGAUACUAGCUGUCGGGCGCAAGCUCGGCGGCCAAGCGAAAGUGAUAAGUAUCCCACCUGGGGAGUACGUUCGCAAGAAUGAAACUCAAAGGAAUUGACGGGGGCCCGCACAAGCGGUGGAGCAUGUGGUUUAAUUCGAUGAUACGCGAGGAACCUUACCAGGGCUUAAAUGCAGGCUGCAUGGGACAGAGACGUCCCUUUCUUCGGACUGCCUGCAAGGUGCUGCAUGGUUGUCGUCAGCUCGUGCCGUGAGGUGUCAGGUUAAGUCCUAUAACGAGCGCAACCCCUGCCGUUAGUUGCCAGCAUGUAAAGAUGGGGACUCUAACGGGACUGCCGGUGCAAACCGUGAGGAAGGUGGGGACGACGUCAAAUCAUCACGGCCCUUACGUCCUGGGCCACACACGUGCUACAAUGGCCGGUACAGAGGGAAGCCACCCCGUAAGGGGGCGCGGGAUCUACAAAGCCGGUCACAGUUCGGAUCGUAGUCUGCAACUCGACUACG